AAACAACAGCACAGCUGUGUACAUAAGUAUUAUACAUAAAUUGUUUAUUUGUCUCAUAGUUGCAUGUAAAGUUAUUUACCCAACUUGUAUAUUUAACGGGUUUGUGUAAUUUUAUGUUUGUUAAACUUAACAGUUGCAAUAAAAUAUCAACAAAAUUCGUUUUACUCACACGAAUUAAUAAUAACAAUAAUAUGCAGUAGGGGUGGUGAUCGCGGAUAACCGCACGAUUUUUUGAAAUAAACUAUAUUCGAUGUCUUAAACUUGUCAUGUAUUUUUAACUGUUCGUACCUAAUAUCGGACACUUUGAUUAUCCGCCAAGGGACUGUCUUACUAUCUCCAUAAAUUAUACAUAACAAUAAUUUAAACUCAUUUUUUAGAAAAGCUGUAAUACGAUGUCAAUACGAGUAAUUAAUGCGAAUAACAUAAACAGAAAUAAUGCACCAUAGCUGUGCGUCGUUCGAAUUUGUAAAUAAAACCCUAUAAAUUAAUUGCAAUUAAUAGUAUUGAGUCAGUGCAUCUACUCCACUACAAGUGGGGAGUGUGGGGACAUUAGUUUGGGUACUCGUACUAAGUUUAUUAAUGAGAAUAUAAUAUCAGAAACCAUAACAUAAUGAAAUCUUUAGUGAUAUUGUUAUUCGCUUGUGUGGCAAUGGCCACGUUUGCUUUUACAACGGCAACAUACUACGACGACGGCUACACGGAUGACUACGACAGCGGCGAGGGCUCAGCAGCAGCCGCCGCUGCGGGGGGCGACGGCAGCCGGGCCACGGCUGUCGCGGGCGACGGCAGGGCCGUGGCGAUGGCCAGCAGUGACGGCGGCCGCGGCGGCAGAGGCGGCAGCGGGGGCAGCAGCGGCGGGAGGGGUGGCAGAGGAGGAGGCGGUGGGGGAAGAGGCGGACGGGGUGGGGGAAGGGGCGGACGAGGCGGGGGAGGGGGCGGCCGCGGAGGCGAUGGCGGUUACGGUUAUCCGGAUGACUACAACUAUUAAGACGUUGUUGGCGACGGACUUGCAUUUUCAUGAAAGAAACUUUCAUGAGGGAGGCGAACGUGCUGGCCAAAUACAAAUACUGAUGCUUUUAUUUUUAGUAUACCUACUUUCAUAUAGAAAUACUAUCACUGAUGCUUUUAUUUUUAGUAUACUUUCAUAUAGAUAGUGUAGGUAUCUCAUUUGUACCUAUAGGUAGUAAUAGUAGGUAUAGUAGUAGCAUAAUGUGUGCAUGGUUGGGCAAAACUUAUAUAGUCCGUCGCUACAACACUGGACACACCACAC